CGAACGCUGGCGGCGUGCUUUAUACAUGCAAGUCGAACGAUGAAGUUCCUUCGGGAAUGGAUUAGUGGCGAACGGGUGAGGAACACGUGAGAAACCUGCCUUUCAUUACUGGGAUAACACCGGGAAACCGGUGCUAAUACCGGAUACUCCAUCUUGGCGGCAUCGCCGAGCUGGGAAAAAUUUUGAUGAAAGAUGGUCUCGCGGCCUAUCAGCUAGUUGGUGAGGUAAAGGCUCACCAAGGCGACGACGGGUAGCCGGCCUGAGAGGGCGACCGGCCACACUGGGACUGAGACACGGCCCAGACUCCUACGGGAGGCAGCAGUAGGGAAUAUUGGGCAAUGGGCGAAAGCCUGACCCAGCGACGCCGCGUGAGGGAUGAAGGUCUUCGGAUUGUAAACCCUCUUUCAGCAGGGACGAAGCGAAAGUGACGGUACCUGCAGAAGAAGCACCGGCUAACUAUGUGCCAGCAG
rnacentral:rRNA from 1 species